rnacentral:rRNA from 1 species
UGGGGAAUUUUUCGCAAUGGGGGAAACCCUGACGAAGCAACGCCGCGUGGAGGAUGAAGGCCUUCGGGUCGUAAACUCCUGUCGACCGGGACGAAAGUAGUCCGGCCUAAUACGUCGGGCUAUCGACUGUACCGGUGGAGGAAGCCACGGCUAACUCUGUGCCAGCAGCCGCGGUAAUACAGAGGUGGCAAGCGUUGUUCGGAAUUACUGGGCGUAAAGGGCGCGUAGGCUGUCCGACAAGUCCCGCGUGAAAUCCCCCGGCUCAACUGGGGAAUGGCGCGGGAAACUGUCGGGCUUGAGUUCGGGAGAGGGAAGCGGAAUUCCGGGUGUAGCGGUGAAAUGCGCAGAUAUCCGGAGGAACACCGGUGGCGAAGGCGGCUUCCUGGACCGACACUGACGCUGAGGCGCGAAAGCUAGGGGAGCAAACGGGAUUAGAUACCCCGGUAGUCCUAGCUGUAAACGAUGAGUGCUGGGUGUAGGGGGUCAUGACCCCCCCUGUGCCGAAGCUAACGCAUUAAGCACUCCGCCUGGGGAGUACGGUCGCAAGGCUG